CUAAUUAAAACUCUAUUUUCCUCCCUAAAACACACUAUUGGUCGCAAAUUUUUACCAUAUAGCAUCAAUCGUAUAUGCGUAAUUAGGGAUCCACUUGUACGCAGCUUUAGCAAUUGGAGUACCAAUUGUGGGUUCUCCAUUGUUGUGUCCUUUAUCUCUCUAGCAUCAAUCAUAUAUGCGCAAUUGUAGGGAUCUUAAUUGUACGCAACUUUAGCAAUUGGAGCAGCAAUUGUGGGUUUUCCAUUGUUGUGUCCUUUUUCUUGGGUUCAUCUCUCUAGCAUUAACCGUAUAUGCGCAAUUGUAGGGAUCCAAGUUGUACGCAGCUUUAGUAAUUGGAGUAGCAAUUGUGGGUUCUCCAUUGUUGUGUCCUUUUUCUUGGGUUCAUCUCUCUCGAACGCGACGAAGUUCAAUAUGAAGACUGAAAAUGAGGAUGGUUCAACUAUGAAGAGUACUAUCAGAUAUACUUUCUGUGCAGCUGGUGUAAUUGGAAAGGGACGAGGACGAGAUCUCAGAUCUUUGACAACAAAAGGGAAAACUCUAACUAAGAGUUCAUUUUAUCAACCUGGUGGUCUAGUUAAGCAAUACACCUCCAAGAAGUUGAAACAAGUUCUAUUGGGAAAGGGUGAGGAAAAUGACUUACAAACUCUACCAUGUGUUAUAGUCAAGUAAUGGGAAUGGCGAUACGUAAGAAUUCUAUGGUUCGUGAGAACGAGUAUAUGUAAGUUAAUACUCCAUUUUCUCCGUUGACUAAUCAAGUUAAGCAAUUCAUUAAAGAGGCUGAAACAAGAAGGGGCGAGGAAAAGGACUUACAAACUCUACCAUGUGUUUUAGUCAAGUAAUGGAAAUGAUGAUACGUAAGAACUCCAUUGUUUGUGAGAAUGAGUAUAUGCAAGUUCAUACUUCAUUUUAUCCAUCGACUAAUCAAGUGUUAUUGGGAAGGGACCAUAAGAAGAACUUACAAACUUUACCAUGUCUUCUAGUCAAGGAAUGAGAAUGAUAUGUAAGAACUCCAUGGUUCGUGAGAACAAAUAUAUGCAAGUUUAUACUCCAUUUUCUCCAUCGAUAAAUCAAGUUAAGAAAUACACCAAAGAGGCUGAAACAAGUGCUAUUGGGAAGGGACCAGAAGAGGGACUUAAAAAUGUUACCAUGUCUUCUAGUCAAAGAAUGGGAUCGAUACGUAAGAAAUUCAUGGUUCUUGAUAAAGCGUAUAUACAAGUUCAUAAUCCAUGUCCUCCAUCUACUAAUCGAGUUAAGCAAUGCACCAAAGAGGUUGAAAAAAGUAUUUUUAAGAAUAAUGUGGGAUCUAAUUAAGGAAUGCGAUCAAUGGAUAAUAAUCCUCUGAUUCUUGGGAAAGAGAACAUGAAAAUCAAUAUUUCAUUGCCUCCGUCUAUUGAUCAAGUUAUGAAGCCCUCCCAAACAGCUGAAAUAGAAUUUGCAUUUCAAUAUAUGCUAAGAUUAUUGUUUAAGAAUAAUAAAGGUGAGAAGCAGAAGGAAUACAGCAAACCGAGCUAAUUUGACAAUGCUUCAUCAUAUUGAAAGCAAGCCUAUUCGAGAGAUAAUGUAUCAGCAGGGCGGGAAAGAUGACAAUUCUUCAGAUUUGGGGACUAUUUUCUACGAGACUCAUAAGAAAGACAACAAGCUUGUUGAACCUGAAGCAAUUGAAAAACAUGUGUAUUUGCUAAAUUGAAUAUGUAAAUUACUUAAAGUUAUUAUGGGUUCUGAUUGAAAAUAUCCUUUUAUCUAUUGUGUAGGCUUAGAUCGAAGAAAUUAUGAAAGCAGAGCCAUCUCUACCUAUCAUAGAGAUUGUAGAAAAAUGUUGGGGACCUCAACAUCUUAGUUAUGUAGUUCGCUUUGGCGGUGGAGUAAAGGCGAAAUACAUGAAAGGGGCACUUCUUCAAAGACUGAAUUACUGUCCGCUCUAUGUUCAACUCGAGAGGACAAUAAAUCCUUGAUUGAGGAAAAUAAAUCCUUGAAUGAUCGCUUGUCAACCUUAGAAGAUGAGAUGGAAAAAAUAAGAAAAAUGCAAGAAUUUUUUGUUGUAUAACAAUCAUAUAUCCCUCAUACGACCUCGCCUGUUUCAACUGAAUGACACACUGACUUAUUUUGCUGACCAAGAAGAAGCUCACUAUCUAAAUCUGAAAGCCUCGAGAAACCACUUCUCCUCCUGGAAGUUAAUGAAGAUCGGCUGGCAGACACGUUUCCACUAUCAAUUGUCAGAUUUAUGAAGUUGAAGUUACAAGUGAAGAUACAAGUUCAGAGAAUGCACAAGCUCAUUAUUAUUUUGCUAAGAACAUUAUGUAAACUUGACAUCAAAUUCUAGCUCAAGAUGUUAAUAGGUUAAGUUUUUUUGUUUAGCAAAUAUUGAAACUAUUGACAUCAUAAAGUUCGGGAUGUUAAUUGGUUAA